UACGUAGGGUGCGAGCGUUAAUCGGAAUUACUGGGCGUAAAGCGUGCGCAGGCGGUUUUGUAAGCCAGGUGUGAAAUCCCCGGGCUCAACCUGGGAAUGGCAUUUGGGACUGCAAGGCUGGAGUGCGGCAGAGGAGACUGGAAUUCCUGGUGUAGCAGUGAAAUGCGUAGAUAUCAGGAGGAAUACCGAGUGGCGAAGGCAGGUCUCUGGGCUGACACUGACGCUCAUGCACGAAAGCCGUGGGGAGCGAAACAAGGAUU
rnacentral:rRNA from 1 species